AGUACGAUCGCAAGAUUAAAACUCAAAGGAAUUGACGGGGCCCCGCACAAGCAGCGGAGCAUGCGGCUUAAUUCGACGCAACGCGAUGAACCUUACCAAGGCUUGACAUAUACAGGAAUAUGGCAGAGAUGUCAUAGCCGCAAGGUCUGUAUACAGGUGGUGCAUGGUUGUCGUCAGCUCGUGUCGUGAGAUGUUGGGUUAAGUCCCGCAACGAGCGCAACCCUCGUUCUGUGUUGCCAGCAUUUAGUUGGGGACUCACAGGAGACUGCCGGGGUUAACUCGGAGGAAGGUGGGGAUGACGUCAAAUCAUCAUGCCCCUUAUGUCUUGGGCUGCACGCAUGCUACAAUGGCUGGUACAAACGGCUGCAAUACCGCAAGGUGGAGCGAAUCCGAGAAAGCCAGUCUCAGUUCGGAUUGGGGUCUGCAACUCGACCCCAUGAAGUCGGAGUUGCUAGUAAUCGUAGAUCAGCAACGCUACGGUGAAUACGUUCCCGGGGCUUGUACACACCGCCCGUCACAUCACGAAAGUCGGUAACACCCAAAGUCAGUGGCCCAACCGCAAGGAGGGAGCUGCCAAAGGUGGGAUCGGUGAUUGGGAUG
rnacentral:rRNA from 1 species